UACGUAGGUCCCGAGCGUUGUCCGGAUUUAUUGGGCGUAAAGCGAGCGCAGGUGGUUUAUUAAGUCUGGUGUAAAAGGCAGUGGCUCAACCAUUGUAUGCAUUGGAAACUGGUAGACUUGAGUGCAGGAGAGGAGAGUGGAAUUCCAUGUGUAGCGGUGAAAUGCGUAGAUAUAUGGAGGAGCACCGGUGGCGAAAGCGGCUCUCUGGCCUGUAACUGACACUGAGGCACGAAAGCGUGGGGAGCAAAUAGG
rnacentral:rRNA from 1 species